CAAUAGAGAAACGACGAAGCAGGGGGGAAGAGGAACCAAUCAACGGCGACUCUUCGUGGUUCUCUCACGUCGUCGGUCGCAAUGAGGACCAAUGGCGAAGCGAUGACUGAAGGUGGCGAGAGGGAAGCUCGCAGGUGCGCUGUCUGCUAUUGCGGAUGUCGUGACCAAUCGCGAUCGUCUCUGGGGUUCAAAGAGGCUGAAGAGACGAAGGGAAAAAGGAGAGGUCGUCGUCUCCGGGGUCGGCGAGGCCGAAGCGAGGAAGACGUGAAGAGCAGCGAAGUUUCGCUCUUCCCCACCGGCUGUGAGGUACGAAGGAGGAAGGGAGGCAACGAGGCUGCAGUGGCCUCGGUGGGUGCAAAGAUGGAGUGAGACGCGAGGUAAGCUGAUUCAAUGGGGGCAAUCAGUCGAUGAUAGCAUCUCUGGUUCUUUGCUUGAUCGAGGAAGGAAAGACGAAGGCAGACGAGUAUUUAGCUGGUGAUUCUUCAACAGGUAAUGAACGGAAUUAACAGAAUUCAAAGGAGGAACAAAAUGGAUAUUUGGGUUUGAUUUUUCACACGAUUUGAUUAGGGCUGUUGCUGUUUUGACAAGAUAAACAGGAAAACGGAUGAGAAAAGGGGUGUUUUUGGCUGGUAUGAUCUACGGGAACAAGUGGAGAGUUGCAGUCGAUUGAAGAACCAUGGAAGAUGGAGUGAAUACGAAGGACACCGUAUGAGUGUAGAAUUGUCUAAAAAUCUGAAUUUGUGUAGAUUUUAAUAGAUUAAAAAUGAUUUUGUUGUACAAGAUUGGAUUUAUAAAGAUAUUUGUUGUAAAA